AUUGAACGCUGGCGGCAGGCUUAACACAUGCAAGUCGAACGAGGGGCGGACGGGUGAGUUAUGCUUGGGAAUCCGUCUUGUGGAGGGGUAUAACGACGGGAAACUGUCGCUAAUACCGCGUACCAUAGUAUGAGCCCAAGUGGGAGUAGGUAGUUGGUGGGGUAAUGGCCUACCAAGCCGACGAUCUCUAGCUGGUCUGAGAGGAUGACCAGCCACACCGGAACUGAGACACGGCCCGGACUCCUACGGGAGGCAGCAGUGGGGAAUAUUGCGCAAUGGGGGCAACCUGACGCAGCCAUGCCGCGUGAAUGAAGAAGGCCUUCGGGUUGUAAAGUUCUUUCGGUGACGAGGCGUUAAUCACAGAAGAAGCACCGGCUAACUCCGUGCCAGCAGCCGCGGUAAUUC
rnacentral:rRNA from 1 species